rnacentral:rRNA from 1 species
AUUGAACGCUGGCGGCAUGCCUUACACAUGCAAGUCGAACGGCAGCACGGGAGCAAUCCUGGUGGCGAGUGGCGAACGGGUGAGUAAAGUAUCGGAACGUGCCCAGUCGUGGGGGAUAACGUAGCGAAAGUUACGCUAAUACCGCAUACGAUCUAUGGAUGAAAGCGGGGGAUCGCAAGACCUCGCGCGAUUGGAGCGGCCGAGAUCAGAUUAGGUGGUUGGUGGGGUAAAGGCUCACCAAGCCGACGAUCUGUAGCUGGUCUGAGAGGACGACCAGCCACACUGGGACUGAGACACGGCCCAGACUCCUACGGGAGGCAGCAGUGGGGAAUUUUGGACAAUGGGCGAAAGCCUGAUCCAGCCAUGCCGCGUGCAGGAUGAAGGCCUUCGGGUUGUAAACUGCUUUUGUACGGAACGAAAAGGUUUGGCCUAAUAAGCUGAGCUCAUGACGGUACCGUAAGAAUAAGCACCGACUAACUACGUGCCAGCCGCCGCGGUAA